ACAGAGGUCCCAAGCGUUGUUCGGAUUCACUGGGCGUAAAGGGUGCGUAGGCGGCUGGGUAAGUCUGACGUGAAAUCUCCGGGCCUAACCCGGAAACUGCGUUGGAAACUAUUCGGCUAGAGGAAUGGAGGGGAGACUGGAAUACUUGGUGUAGCAGUGAAAUGCGUAGAUAUCAAGUGGAACACCAGUGGCGAAGGCGAGUCUCUGGACAUUUCCUGACGCUGAGGCACGAAAGCCAGGGGAGCAAACGGGA
rnacentral:rRNA from 1 species